rnacentral:rRNA from 1 species
CCUACGGGAGGCAGCAGUGAGGAAUAUUGGUCAAUGGACGAGAGUCUGAACCAGCCAAGUAGCGUGAAGGAUGACUGCCCUAUGGGUUGUAAACUUCUUUUAUAUGGGAAUAAAAUGUUCCACGUGUGGGAUUUUGUAUGUACCAUAUUAAUCAGGAUCGGCUAACUCCGUGCCAGCAGCCGCGGUAAUACGGAGGAUCCGAGCGUUAUCCGGAGUUAUUGGGUUUAAAUGGAGCGUAGGUGGAUUGUUAAGUCAGUUGUGAAAGUUUGCGGCUCAACCGUAAAAUUGCAGUUGAAACUGGCAGUCGUGAGUACAGUAGAGGUGGGCGGAAUUCGUGGUGUAGCGGUGAAAUGCUUAGAUAUCACGAAGAACUCCGAUUGCGAAGGCAGCUCACUGGACUGCAACUGACACUGAGGCUCGAAAGUGUGGGUAUCAAACAGGAUUAGAUACCCUAGUAGUC